rnacentral:lncRNA from 1 species
CAGCAGUCAUAUGGGGAAGUAUGGGGCAUUUGAGGAAUUGACUCAGAUGUUGGACUGCAAAGCAUAUAUCAGGCCUAGUAUGAGUCAGAAACAACAUCUUACCAACUAGACUCCUGUACUGGUCAGGAGAGGACAAAAUGUCACCAGAAUCAGCAUGAAGUUUAUCAGGCCUAGUAUGAGUCAGAAACAACAUCUUACCAACUAGACUCCUGUACUGGUCAGGAGAGGAUAAAAGAUCACCAGAAUUAGCAUGAAGUUUGACAUUAAUGUCCAAAGGAGAAACAACAGAGUAGACAUUUGCACAGUCAAAC